rnacentral:lncRNA from 1 species
UCGGAAGUUACAUAUUUCCCAAUUCCCAUACCUUUAGAUAAGGCGUAACCAUCAACCUUAAAUUCAUGGGACCCAUUAAUCGUAUCGAUCCGAGAGGUCGAUGUGGUUGUUGUGGGUUGAGAAGAUGAUGAAUUUAGGGGUUUUGAAGGUUCCGAUGGAACCCUGAAGGUACCCAUAUGAUGAAAGAUUGGAUUUUUUUUGUAGAAUUGAAAGAAAAGAAGAUCCUUUAAGCUAAUGGGUCGGCAAAAAAAUGGGUAGAAUUGAGGAAAAAGAUUGAAUCUAAUCGGUGAAAAUUGAUGGAAUUGAAGAAACGGA